CCAUCGAAUAUCAAAGACAUUUGCUUAAUCAUGUCAAGUUUAUCCAUCUUCUAUCUCCUCUCUCAUCCUCUCACCGCCCCAAUCCCCACCGCCCCCACCCUCAUCUCCGUCGUUGCGCGGCCUCCCACCACAAUCCGCCACAUCCUCUUUUCCAUCGCAUCCUCCCAUAAAUCAUAUAACAAUCGAAAGCCCUACCUCCGUCUCUGGUACAAACCUAAUUUCACGAACGCAAUCGUCUUCCUAGACCGUCCGGUAACCGAUUCUGACGCCGGUGGCGGUUCCGAUCUCCCUCCGAUAAUUAUCUCCGGCGACACGUCGCGGUUUCCCUACACCUUCCCCCAUGGACUCCGAUCGGCUAUUCGCGUGGCUCGGAUCGUAAAAGAAGCGGUGGAAUCGGACGAAUCGGAUGAUAUACGGUGGUACGUUUUCGGCGACGACGAUACGGUGUUUUUCACGGAGAAUCUGGUGAAGGUUCUGGCGGAAUACGAUCAUGACCGAUGGUUCUACAUCGGAAGCGUAUCGGAAAGUUACGAGCAGAAUUUACGGCAUUCGUUUAAUAUGGCGUUCGGCGGUGGUGGAUUCGUGAUCAGCCGAUCAUUGGCUAGGGUUUUGGCAAGGGUUUUGGAUUCUUGUUUGAUGAGAUAUCCUCAUGUGUACGGAAGUGAUUCCAGAGUGUUCUCUUGCUUGGUGGAGCUUGGUGUUGAAUUAACCCACCAUCCUGGGUUUCAUCAGGUCGACGUUCGAGGCGACAUGUCCGGGAUUCUUUCGGCACAUCCGUUGCCACCAUUGCUAUCGCUUCAUCACUUGGACCUCGUAGAUCCAAUCUUUCCUGGUUUGACCAGGCUCGAGGCGGUCAAACACCUUUUUGAAGCUGCAGAACAUGAUCCCGCCCGGAUCCUUCAGCAGACCGUCUGCUACGAUUCUUCCAACUCGAUCACGGUGUCGGUUUCGUGGGGUUACGUGGUUCAGGUGUUUGAAGGCAAUCAAUUCCUUCCGGAUCUAAUUCAAGUACAAAAGACGUUCGGUUCGUGGAGGAGGAAAGAAAACCUUUUAUCAAGCCUUCAUAUGUUCAAUAUGCGGGAUUACCAUAAAGAUCUGUGUAAAGCCCCGGAUACGUUCUUCUUGGAAGGCCUCGAUCCUGAUACGGACAGGUUUCACACUUCCUAUAAAAGGAAUACGGCGUCGAAUUGCUCGAGAAGUAACGUGAUACGGGAUUUAAUGAAUAUAAGAGUAUUCUCGAGAAGGCUUGAUGCGGAUACUGAACAAAUGGACGCACCUCGUCGUCAAUGCUGCGAUAUCUUGCCGCCGUAUAAUGAAACCAUGGUUAUUUCUUUGCGGCGUUGUGAAACCGAUGAAUUGAUUGCGAUGCACGUGUAGGGUUCGUGACUUGAUGAUAAGGAAGCUUCUUGAGCCGUGUCGCUUACUUCAAAACAUGAGGAUCACAACGACACGCUGCUCCUUGGAAUCAAACCGGUGUAUGGCUUGAGCCUUCAUAUGACGGAUUUUAACGACACAAGCAGAUAUUACAUGAUUGAAAGCGACCCGUCAAGGUCAACAGUUUGUUAUCAAAAAUACAAAUUUAUCCGUUCCAAAUAAGUGUCCAUAUUUUUAUUUUUAUUUGUCUAAAAAAUAAGUGUCGGUUUUCAAAAGCAAGUGUUCACUUUCCAAUUCUACAUUUAAUAACGAGAUGUGGAGAAUUCAUUUACUUCUCCUUAUUAUUAAAGGUAUAAUUAUCAUUUAUUUAAUAAAAAAGUAAUAUAACUAAAAGUUUUUAAAACUAUCCAUGGACAUUUAUUUUGGGACGGAUUAUAAGUAUAGCUAAUUUGACAAAAAUUGAGGUCAAAUACAAAAGUAGAGUCAACCACAAUGGUUGUAUUUGUAAUGAACUGUUGUUAUAAUAUAUACAUUGCUCAAGGGUUGUAUUUGCAUGAAAUGUUAUAAUAUAUAAAUUUUUGGGUCAAGUGAUCCAAAAUUUCAUUUUAAUAUUUAAAUAUUGUUCGGACUUUUGUUUUAAGAGUUGUUUACUUAAUGUUUAUCAUUAUCCGAUGUCACUUAUCUUAUUGGAUGAUUAUGACAAAGAGAGGUUGGCCCAG